UGCCGCCAUGUAAACGUUCUUUGCUCCUGCUUCGUCUUCUGCCGUGAUUGUGAGGCCUCCCCAGCCAUGUGGAACUACUCAUCACUCACUGCAGAUGUUACUUUAAGACAUUCUGGAGCAGCGUCAUGUGCAGGAACAAUAAGGAAGUGAGUGCUUUUGUAAUUCCUGAACAACUGUGUCUUACACUUACUAAGGGAUUCAUGGGCAAUAUGACUGAAUAGGAACAGCUCCAGUCUGAAGCUCCCAGUGAGACCAACAUAGAAGGCCUUUGAGCUUAUACUGAAUUAUACCACCAGCUUUCCUAGGUCUUGAAGCUUACAGACAGCAGAUCUUGGGACUUCUCAGGCACCAUAAUCAAUCAUAGAUAAAUGAUCCAAUGAUUCGGAACUUGAAAAGUGGUAGCUUUAUGAAUUCUCCUUAAGAAGAAACCUGUGCCCUGAUCUUGCCUACUCACCCAAAGGCACUGUGAGAUAGCAUCAAAGGAACAGCUAGUAAGAGACACAGAGCCAGAAAUCAGGGAAGUAAAAUACACUUGACAUCUACGUUCGGAAAGAAAUUUUAGGAGGCAGAAGCAAAUGGAUCAGAAGCUGCUUAUAUUUUUGCAAGAUUACCAAAGAAACCAUUGGUGGAGAAAGUUCUGUGACCAACUUGUCUGAGUCUAGCUCCGGAAAGCUGCCUAAAGUAGAUGGAGUCUUCUCUGUGUGUGCCCCACUGGUCCUGCAGUUGAAGGAUCCGGUAAAGCAGCCUGCCCUUGGUUUUAUACUCCAGAGGAACGUGAUUCGCUGGACUAAAGCAUUGAAGUGCAUCCUGUUUCCGGGGGGCACUGGAACAGAGCCUGGUCUGUUCUAGCCAGUCCCUUUCUAUCUCAGGAUAACAUUCUACAGUUAUUCUUGAGAACUAUAAUCAAAUAAGCAGGGAGAACUGGGAAAGCAGAGGCUCAUUGUGGAACCCUCAAGGAGCAUGGGGUCGUCUUCAUCCCUCAGUUUAUAAAUGGCCAAGGAGAGUAAUGCAACAAAAACUUCUCAGAGUUAAAAGCCAGAGUUCCUAAAGAACCGUGGACAAAGGGUUCUGUCUAGUGGGCAGAAUUCAUCCAGCGAAGGUGCUUACUGCACUCCCAGCAUGUGCUUGGGAACUUUAUUAAAAUUCCUUCCUAUUGAGAUUUAAAUUGCUGUCCAGAAUUAUACAAUAUAAUGAAUGGGGGCAUUCAUUAUGUGUAUUCUAUGCCUUCUCCAUCAUUGCAUAUUCAGUCCUCGUGCUAGAGAGAGGCAGAUAAUCUACCUUUUAAAUUGAUAGGUCUCCUAACUACAGAGGGUCACAUCUGGAUCUGAUGGCACCUACAGAACUUGGACUCUGAGCGACAAUCAGUGACCAGGUGUGACUUUAUAUUAUCUCUGUCAGGGAAGGGUGAGAGUUUUCAAUGUGUGAACAUAGAAUAAAAUGGUCUGGUGACCAAAAGGCUCUAUUAAAGAUAAUAUGAGAUGUUCAAAA
rnacentral:lncRNA from 1 species